GAUUUCUGACUUAGCGCACCUGGCCCGCCACGUUUACGUGUGUGAGUGCCGGGAUGCGCUUGUCACUUUUCUGGUAAACCAUUGUGCUCUUCACUGAGUGUGAUGGGUAGCCAGAUAUUUUACUUUGAAAAAAUUAGAGUGUUUAAAGCAGGCUUUUGCUAUGAAUACAUUAGCAUGGAAUAAUAAUUUAGGACUUCGGUUCUAUUUUGUUGGUUUCUAGGACUGAAGUAAUGAUUGAUAGGGACAGUUGGGGAUGCUGAAAUUCAUUGGCCAGAGGUGAAAUUCUUGGAUUCAAUGAAGUUCAACUCAUGCGAAAGCAUU
rnacentral:rRNA from 1 species